ensembl:rRNA 5S_rRNA 5S ribosomal RNA
GCCUACGGCCAUCCCACCCUGGUAACGCCCGAUCUCGUCUGAUCUCGGAAGCUAAGCAGGGUCGGGCCCUGGUUAGUACUUGGAUGGGAGACCUCCUGGGAAUACCGGGUGCUGUAGGCU